rnacentral:rRNA from 1 species
GUCAGCAGCCAUAUCACCCUGCAGCCCAAGACUGGUUGCCCACUGAAGCUAAGCAGGGUUGAGCCUGGUCAGUACCUGGAUGGGAGACCUCCUGGGAAAACUAGGUUGCUUUUGGAA